rnacentral:ncRNA from 1 species
AUAAAGUUUAAUUCUGGCUUAUAAAUUUAUUAAAUUUUUUUUUUACAUGUAAAUUUUUGUGUGUUUUAUAAUUUAAUUUAAAUAGUUUUUUAUAUUGUUUUCAUUCGCAGUAUUUAAUUUUAAUAAUUUAAGAAAUUAAGAAUUAUAAAUAAAUUUUAUUAUUGACAAAUUUUGUGCCAGCAGUUGCGGUUAGACAAAAAAUAUAAAUAAAUUAUAUUAGUAAAUAAUUAUAUGUAAUUAGUUUAAAUUAAUAUUAUAUUUAUUAAGUGAAAUUUUAAUUAUAAUUUAAAUUUAAAAUUAAAUUUUUAUUAUUAUGAAAUUUAUUUUUAAACUAGGAUUAGAUACCCUAUUAUUUUAAAUGUAAAAUUAAAAUACUAAAGUAUUGUUAGUUAUGUUCUUUAAAUUUUAAGAUUUUGGCGGUAUUUUAGUCUAUUUAGAGGAACCUGUUCUAUGAUUGAUAGUCCACGAUUAACUUUACUUAAUUUAAAAUAAUUUGUAUACCGUCGUUAUAAGAAGAUUUUAAAAGAAUUUAAAUUUUUAAUUUUUUAUAUAAAAAAAAUAUAUCAGAUCAAGGUGCAGUUAAUAAUUAAGAAGAAAUGGGUUACAAUAAAUUUAUUUAUAAUGAAUUAAAGUAAGAAUAUGCUUUAUGAAGGUGGAUUUAAUAGUAAUAAAAUUAAUUUUUAUUUUAUGAUUUUAGCUCUAAAAUAUGUACAUAUCGCCCGUCGCUCUUAUUAUAAAGUAAGAUAAGUCGUAACAUAGUAGAUGUACUGGAAAGUGUAUCUAGAAUGAC